rnacentral:rRNA from 1 species
CAGCCGCCGCGGUAAUACGUAGGGUGCGAGCGUUAAUCGGAUUUACUGGGCGUAAAGCGUGCGCAGGCGGCCCGUUAAGACAGGUGUGAAAUCCCUGGGCUCAACCUAGGAAUUGCGCUUGUGACUGGCGGGCUCGAGUACGGUAGAGGGGGGUGGAAUUCCUGGUGUAGCAGUGAAAUGCGUAGAGAUCAGGAGGAACACCGAUGGCGAAGGCAGCCCCCUGGGCCUGUACUGACGCUCAUGCACGAAAGCGUGGGGAGCAAACAGGAUUAGAUACCCCCGUAGUCCCUGUCUCUUAUAU